rnacentral:lncRNA from 1 species
UGCAGCAAAAGAACGUCAGAGAGCCUUCAGGUACGAUGAAAACUGAAGAGCAAGCCAUUGGGUGUGAGGAGCCAAAGAAAUUGGCCAACACAGUGCCUCCUGCAGAGGGAGUACAAAAUUCAGGUGUUGAUGGGGUUACGGAAGACCCCCUUGGGGAUGCUCGGAAGAUGGUACAAGAGGAGAUUAACCGUGAAUUUGCUGCAAUGAUGGCGACUGGGACAUUGCGUGCGAGUGAGGCUGCAGCCCUUGCCAUGAAGAAAGUAAUGCAAAAAUAUGGACACAUGAAUG